AUUGAACGCUGGCGGCAUGCCUUACACAUGCAAGUCGAACGGCAGCACGGGAGUAAUCCUGGUGGCGAGUGGCGAACGGGUGAGUAAUAUAUCGGAACGUGCCCAGUCGUGGGGGAUAACGUAGCGAAAGCUACGCUAGUACCGCAUACGAUCUAUGGAUGAAAGCGGGGGAGCGCAAGACCCCGCGCGAUUGGAGCGGCCGAUAUCAGAUUAGGUAGUUGGUGGGGUAAAGGCUCACCAAGCCGACGAUCGGUAGCUGGUCUGAGAGGACGACCAGCCACACUGGGACUGAGACACGGCCCAGACUCCUACGGGAGGCAGCAGUGGGGAAUUUUGGACAAUGGGCGCAAGCCUGAUCCAGCAAUGCCGCGUGCAGGAUGAAGGCCUUCGGGUUGUAAACUGCUUUUGUACGGAGCGAAAAGGCUCUCUCUAAUACAGGGGGCUCAUGACGGUACCGUAAGAAUAAGCACCGGCUAACUACGUGCCAGCCGCCGCGGUAACAC
rnacentral:rRNA from 1 species